UACGGAGGGAGCUAGCGUUGUUCGGAAUUACUGGGCGUAAAGCGUACGUAGGCGGCUUUGUAAGUCAGAGGUGAAAGCCUGGAGCUCAACCCCGGAACUGCCUUUGAGACUGCAUCGCUCGAAUCCGGGAGAGGUGAGUGGAAUUCCGAGUGUAGAGGUGAAAUUCGUAGAGAUUCGGAAGAACACCAGUGGCGAAGGCGGCCCACUGGACCGGUAUUGACGCUGAGGUGCGAAAGCGUGGGGAGCAAACAGG
rnacentral:rRNA from 1 species